UUAUCAUUUAUUAAUUACAUUUCUAAAUUCAUUAAUUUCAGAAAUAUCUUCGUACGUGAUAGAAAAUACCGCAGUUAAUCCAAUAUAUAAAUUUUUAUUUUGAUUGAUAAUUUAUCUCUUCGAUGAAUUUUUUGAAUGAACGAACAAUCGAUAUAUACAUAAUUUAUUUGUUAAAGAAAAUUAUUUAAAAAAGAACAAUAAUUUUAGAAUAGCCACAAGUUAUAUUGAUCGAUAGCGAUCAAGAAUAGUUACCAUACGAAAUAAGUUUUAUCUUGAAAAUAGAAAGUAAUUAUUGGCAAUAUAUUAUGUGCACAACAAUUAUGACUGAAUAUAGAUUUUAAUAAUAACGUUAAAUAUUAAAGUGUUUGAAUAUUGAAGACAAAUUUUUUUAAUCACUUUAAUUUUCAUAAGUAAUCUUUAUCGAUGAAACUUAAUUAAUUUUCAGUCACGAUUCUGAUAUUAAAACUGAACAAACAGAUAUAAAAUUUUCAUACGACAUUCAUACGAGUAAAAUUAUAUCUUGACAUUAAAUAUAGUCAUGAAUUACGUUCGAUAAGCAAAUAUUGCUUAUGUAAUUGAUUGUUUUAACGUUCACGUUCAAGUAUAUAAGUACAUAUGACUUCAGAUUUAAUAAAAGAACGUAUCGAAAGAAGGUGUCGAAAAGAAACAUGAAAAGUGUGAAAUUAUUCAUCGGGAGGGUUACCCUCACAUUAGUAUUUAUUUAUAUUGCUAUGGUUGUAUCUGCUCCUGAUGCAAAUGAGGACAUCGACUUAUAUCUACGAGACGUUAUGUAAAAUAACUGAAACGAGGAUUGUUUGAUCAUAUUUGAUGAUUUAUAUAUAUUGUUAUCCAUUUGUAGACUUAAAAAUGUAAUAAAUGUAGUUAGAGUGAAAUUUUUUAAAUUUGUAUAUCUAUUUAAAGAAAAAAUUAUAAUAUAACGAUACGAUAUUAUUUAAUAUAUAAUAUUAAGCAACACA